rnacentral:rRNA from 1 species
UUUUGUGUGUGCAUUCGANGCUCGUAUGUGCAAUUGUCAAUUCAUGGUGGGGACAGACCAUUGUUAAUUGUUGGUCUCGGUCUUAACUAGGAAUGCCUUGUACGGGUCUUUGGUUCAACAAACCACCCGGAAUACGUCCCUGCCCUUUGUACACACCGCCCGUCGCUCUUACCGAUGGACUUCUCUGUGAGUUUGAGGGACUGGAUUUUAUAUCUAUGGAAACUCAAACGAACAGUGUGGUCUAAAGGAAAGAGAA